UAAGGUUUAUGUCACAACUCACAAACCCAAAAAAGAACAAUCUCAUCACCACCCUAUGACCAACUUUGAUUUAACAAAUAAACCAAUGCCACCAACUAUAACUCUCUCCUGCUAUUCUCUUGCAAUUUAUCCUUCACUUUGUCUAUCCUUUGUUAGUUGACGUAGAAAGCAGGUUGGAAUUGGAGUUGGAAUUGGGGGAUGGAAGGAUUGGAUGCCCUAAUUCAGAGAUUGCUGGAGGGAAAGGUCAACAGAGGCAAAAGGAUUCCUCUAGUAGAGACCGAAGUCCGCCAACUUUGGGUCACUGCU